GCUGGGCAUGGUGGUGUGUGCCUGUAAUCCCAGCUACUGGGGAGGCUGAGGCAGGAGAAUCCCUUGAACCCAGGAGGUGGAGGUUGUAGUGAGCUGAAGUCACACCACUGCACUCCAGCCUGGGUGACAGAGUGAGACCCUGUCUCAA
ensembl:misc_RNA Metazoa_SRP Metazoan signal recognition particle RNA